rnacentral:tRNA from 1 species
AGGGACGUAGCUCAGUGGUAGAGUAAUCGUCUGAUAAGCGAUAGGUCGUUGGUUCAAAUCCAACCGUCCCUACCA